rnacentral:rRNA from 1 species
GCAGUCGACGCUUCUUUUUCCACCGGAGCUUGCUCCACCGGAAAAAGAGGAGUGGCGAACGGGUGAGUAACACGUGGGUAACCUGCCCAUCAGAAGGGGAUAACACUUGGAAACAGGUGCUAAUACCGUAUAACAAUCGAAACCGCAUGGUUUUGAUUUGAAAGGCGCUUUCGGGUGUCGCUGAUGGAUGGACCCGCGGUGCAUUAGCUAGUUGGUGAGGUAACGGCUCACCAAGGCGACGAUGCAUAGCCGACCUGAGAGGGUGAUCGGCCACAUUGGGACUGAGACACGGCCCAAACUCCUACGGGAGGCAGCAGUAGGGAAUCUUCGGCAAUGGACGAAAGUCUGACCGAGCAACGCCGCGUGAGUGAAGAAGGUUUUCGGAUCGUAAAACUCUGUUGUUAGAGAAGAACAAGGAUGAGAGUAACUGUUCAUCCCUUGACGGUAUCUAACCAGAAAGCCACGGCUAACUACGUGCCAGCAGCCGCGGUAAUACGUAGGUGGCAAGCGUUGUCCGGAUUUAUUGGGCGUAAAGCGAGCGCAGGCGGUUUCUUAAGUCUGAUGUGAAAGCCCCCGGCUCAACCGGGGAGGGUCAUUGGAAACUGGGAGACUUGAGUGCAGAAGAGGAGAGUGGAAUUCCAUGUGUAGCGGUGAAAUGCGUAGAUAUAUGGAGGAACACCAGUGGCGAAGGCGGCUCUCUGGUCUGUAACUGACGCUGAGGCUCGAAAGCGUGGGGAGCAAACAGGAUUAGAUACCCUGGUAGUCCACGCCGUAAACGAUGAGUGCUAAGUGUUGGAGGGUUUCCGCCCUUCAGUGCUGCAGCUAACGCAUUAAGCACUCCGCCUGGGGAGUACGACCGCAAGGUUGAAACUCAAGGAAUUGACGGGGGCCCGCACAAGCGGUGGAGCAUGUG